CAAAGCAUAGCUAAACUAGUAAAGCACCUCACUUACACCGAGAAGACAUCCGUGCAAAUCGGAUUGCUUUGA
rnacentral:tRNA from 1 species